CUAUAAACAGUUUUAGAAGAUCUUUUGAAUUCUCAAGCCUUCUUUGUUUCCACAGUGUUCCCGGAAGCAGGCAGGCCUGGCAUUGCUGAAGCCCUCCCCUUUGAGAGGUGAGGAACGUGGGCUCUGGGACCUGACACUCAGGCUGAGGGCUUUGGGCUGAGUUAGUUCCCAGACAGUUCUCAGGCCUUGCUUGACCCCAGGCCUGGACUUGACUCCUGCUCAGCACUGCUGUAACCGGAUCUCUGUGGCCACUUGCAGAAGGGCCAAAACCCUGUUCCCAGAAGAGAUGCCAGUGGCCAUAGGGCAGCUUCUCUCUGGUCAGUACCUUUGCCCCAGUUCGCGUAGGAAAACAGUACUUCUGAGUUCAGCAGAAGCUGUCUCUCGGCUUUCUCCAGGAACUGGGCUGGAAGGAAGGGUUCUCCUGAAUACCCUCGAGGUCCAUUUAAGCAGGACACAGAACUCACUGGCUCCCUUGCUCCUGGACUUCCCCUGCUGGUGGUGUGGCCUUUUCCUGACUACUCGAAUCCCAGGAAACUUAGGAAACAAACUACAGAUCAAGAGAUAAUUUUGCAGCAGUAAGUGCGAGAGCUCGGCGUAGAACUGCAGGCACUCACUGGAAUAGGAAGCUUUCAUUUGACGGCAUGUCCAUGGUGUAAGGAUAUUGGUCUCCAAACAUUUUGAAUUCCAAGAAGCAGCUUUUUAUGUAGCCUACCCUAGUGCAUUAGAGAUUUUGUUUAAAAGAAAAUGAAUGCACUUUGAUUUAAUUUCCUUCUCUAAAAGUUUGCUACUAACUGUAGUGUCAAGUGCCA
rnacentral:lncRNA from 13 species